rnacentral:rRNA from 1 species
UACAGAGGUCUCAAGCGUUGUUCGGAUUCAUUGGGCGUAAAGCGCACGCAGGCGGACGCGCGCGUGGGGUGUGAAAUCUGGCCGCUUAACGGCCAGGCGCCAUCCCAUACGGCGCGUCUGGAGUGAUGCAGAGGUCGAUGGAAUUGCCGGUGUAGUGGUGAAAUGCGUAGAGAUCGGCAGGAACACCCAGGGGGAAACCAGUCGACUGGGCAUCUACUGACGCUGAGGUGCGAGAGCGUGGGGAGCGAACCGG